rnacentral:sRNA from 1 species
UAUUGAAGAAAUUUAAGUUCGUGUGGUUUUACCUUUUCCGGGAGUCUCCAGCUGGCCCUCAUAUGUGUCCGGAGCUCAGGAGUUCCCAAGCCGACUCAGUCGCACCAAGUUUCCGUCUUUUGGGAUUGGGGAAGGAGUUUCUUUCUUUCUUUUCUUUUUCUUGAGCCAGUUUUAAUCGCUUUGAAUAAAUACUCCCUUAAGUAGUUAAAUAUAGGAGGAGAAAGAAUACGUCGGUUGUUAAAGCAGGAGAGGAAGAGAGAGACCUGCUCUAUAGCGUGACUCCUCUAGAAAAAAAAAAAGCCGGAGUAUUUUACUAAACCCCUAAAAUGUCGAGAUUUGUACAAGGUACCUGUGCGUGCACGCAGACGGGAAGGGCUGGGGAAGCGGGAGGACUGGGAAAGGCCAGAUCUUAGCAAAGCAAUGUCUCAAGAUGGCGCUUCUCAGUUCCAAGAAGUCAUUCGGCAAGAGCUAGAAUUAUCUGUGAAGAAGGAACUAGAAAAAAUACUCACCACAGCAUCAUCACAUGAGUUUGAGACACCGGGUUUUGCCAUAUUGCUGAGGCUGGUCUCAAACUCCUGAGCUCAAACGAUCAGCUGGCCUGAG